AACGAACGCUGGCGGCAGGCUUAACACAUGCAAGUCGAACGCACCUUUCGGGGUGAGUGGCAGACGGGUGAGUAACGCGUGGGAAUCUACCCUUCUCUACGGGAUAGCUCCGGGAAACUGGAAUUAAUACCGUAUACGUCCUGAGGGAGAAAGAUUUAUCGGGGAAGGAUGAGCCCGCGUUGGAUUAGCUAGUUGGUGGGGUAAAGGCCUACCAAGGCGACGAUCCAUAGCUGGUCUAAGAGGAUGAUCAGCCACAUUGGGACUGAGACACGGCCCAAACUCCUACGGGAGGCAGCAGUGGGGAAUAUUGGACAAUGGGCGCAAGCCUGAUCCAGCCAUGCCGCGUGAGUGAUGAAGGCCCUAGGGUUGUAAAGCUCUUUCAGUGGGGAAGAUAAUGACGGUACCCACAGAAGAAGCCCCGGCUAACUUCGUG
rnacentral:rRNA from 1 species